rnacentral:tRNA from 1 species
GGCAUUAUGGGCAAGCCUAUGAGCCUGAACCUGCUGAAGGCAGGUUAUGAGCUUGUGGUGCUGGACCGCAAUCAUGCUGC